UGGCCCCUUCUCCAUCCGGGUCCUCUCCCCACACACUCGGAAGGACCACGGCAGAGAACCCCUCUCCUGCUUAUGUUGGGGCGAGGCUGGGGUGAUGGGAAUUUAGGGUCUACAGUCAGCGGUGAAGAUGAAUCCCAGUCUCCUGGGCGAGAGUGAGACAGAAGUGAAGAAACAACGUCCCAGCCAACCAAACUUGCUCAGCGUCUAAGAUCUGCUGGUGCCGGGAUAUUAUUGUCAGACAUUUCAAUUUUUGAGUCUAGCUAAGGAUGUAGGAGGAGACAGAGAAGAUGAUGUGGUGACAGAAGGAGCAAUUGGAGUGAAGAACUUUGAAGACAGAGGAAGGGACCUCAAGCCUAGGAACACAGGUGACCACUAGAAACUGAACAAAGCAAGGAAAUGGAUUUUCCCUCCAAUUCAUAGGAAGGAACCAACCCUGUCACCACCUUGGCUUUAUCCCGCUGAAACUGAUUUCAAAUUUUGGCUUCCAGAGCUCUAAGAAACUGUAUUUGUCCUGUUAAAGUCAGUAAAUUUAUGGUAAUUUGUUACAGUAUCAAUGGGAAACCAUUACACUAAAUAAACUAUUGUU